AUACCUUUCUCGACCUUUUGGGUAAGAUAAAGUGCAUGUAAUAUAUGUUCUUAUCAGUUUAAUAUCUAAUAAUUAGACCAUAUGUUUGUUUUUUGUAUUAAAUUUAUUUUUUAUGGGUAUCAAAUAUGAUUGUGUGUCGUCGUAACACAUGGCCAU
rnacentral:snRNA from 1 species